rnacentral:rRNA from 1 species
UUCGGGAAUUAGAAUACAGGUGCUGCAUGGCUGUCGUCAGCUCGUGUCGUGAGAUGUUGGGUUAAGUCCCGCAACGAGCGCAACCCUUGUCCUUAGUUACCAGCGGUUUGGCCGGGAACUCUAAGGAUACUGCCAGUGACAAACUGGAGGAAGGCGGGGACGACGUCAAGUCAUCAUGGCCCUUACGACCAGGGCUACACACGUGCUACAAUGGUAGGUACAGAGGGCAGCUACACAGCGAUGUGAUGCGAAUCUCAAAAAGCCUAUCGUAGUCCAGAUUGGAGUCUGCAACUCGACUCCAUGAAGUAGGAAUCGCUAGUAAUCGCGGAUCAGAAUGCCGCGGUGAAUACGUUCCCGGGCCUUGUACACACCGCCCGUCACACCAUGGGAGUUGAUUGCACCAGAAGUGGGUAGCCUAACCUUUUAGGAUGGCGCUCACCACGGUGUGGUUGAUGACUGGGGUGAAGUCGUAACAAGGUAACCGUA